UAGACUUCGCCAUUGCUAAGCAAUUUUGUGUGGAAUAUUUCAUAUUUUGCUCAGGUUAUUCGUUUUGAAAUCAGUUGUAGAAAUGCUGUCAUGUGAAGCUCCCGAUGCUGAAUGCAUCACAUCUUUAGCUGGUGUUAUAAAGAGAAAAGAAGAUGUUCCUGAAAUGUUGAGUGAGAACGAUGUGUCCAAAAUAUAUUCUGAUGAUGAAGAUUCUGAUGAAGAUGAUUUUGAUCACAAUUUCACCAGAGGAUUUCUUGACGACUUUUACCGUAUUCGCAAAGACGUCACUGAAAAAUUAAAACAAUUUUCUUGGAUAAAUGGAUAUUGCGGGAUAUCAUUCAACCCAGAACCUCGUUUGUAUGUGACUGUAGUAAAGGAGAGAAAAAAUGAUGAAGAUUCUUUGAAGAAUGAGAUCAACCACAAAUUUGGUUGAAAAGCGUCUGAUUAUAUUGAUUUUCGUUAUGCCAAUAGCUCAUUACCGACGUUUCGAUAUUUGUCAACUUAAGCUUGAAAAUACACGUAGUGAAGAAGUUAAUGACUCGUCCCAGUCCAAAAUUGCUAAAAUGAAGUUGAACAAAGAUCCCAUGUUGUCCGGAGAGGUUAUAGACAUUUUCUCGAAGGAUAUAUGGUGAUGUAGUUAAUAUUACUUCCUAGUGAGUAGUAACGUAGAACUUUGACAAAUCGAAUGCAGUUUUACCAACGUAAAAAUGGGCUAAUUUAAAAGGUUCCUAGGUUACAUUAUAUUCAGACGCAUUAACUUAUAAUCAACCUUAUCUUUUACAGGUGAAUAUUACUGUGUAUUCAUAUAUCAA